UAAAUAUUAUGCAGGCGUUCUCUUCCAUUGGUGGCUGUCGUAGGUUCCCACGAGUCAGCUGAUGACGUUUCACUUGGACAAACAACUAAGCAUUGUUGUAUAUUUUUUGCGUGUUUUAUUAUAAUUUUAUUAUUAUGAAAUUCGUGAACAUUAUUACUGAGCCUUGGCAGUCUAUUUUGUAUUUGUUUUAUUGAGGAGAAAAAAACAGACAAGAACGCAUAUUGUGUUGCGCCUGCGCUGUGACGUUCUUUUUCCAACCGCAUUUCCAGUCAAGAGGUCAAGAAUGUUCCUGUCUGCAUCAGGUAAGAAUUUAAAUAAAAAAUUACCGUUAUAAUAUGAUAUCUAUUUUUCAUAUAGUGUAAGAAACUUUCGUAUUAAUUGUGCAGGAGACUGUUCAUUUAAACUUUAUUGUGGUAACGUUAAAUGCUCGCUCGUUUUGCAAAGUUACGUUUGGAGAUUCAUGUUAACAGUCAUUGUUUAAUGAAAGGCACAUUGGACUGCAGUUUAGUUAGUAUGUGUGACACUUGCAGCACUUUAACGUAAAUCUUUAACACCGUGUCCUAAAUAGACGUGACACGCGGUAACGGGUUUCUUUUCAGUUUAUGUCCUGACGUUAAUAGGACGGGAUAUUAUAAAUUAUGCCUUUCGAUUAUCACGACGCCUCGUCGCGUUUGGUUAAGCACAUGGUGGAACAGUAUGCACGUCACUGUACCUACUGUACACCUGUGAGCGGCAUGACGAGACAAAAGACGGUAAAACUCAUUAUUAUUCGGUGAUGCUGUAACAUACUGGAUGCACCGCCACAUUUUAUAAUAAUGUUUUUUUAUUUUCGUGUCGCGCCCCUCGCGUUCAAUAUAACGUAGUGGUCUAAAUGUAAGGAGUCAAACUUCACGAACCUUUCACUGCUUGCAGUAAGGCUAAAGUGCUACGUAGUGAAUAAAAUGGGUGUAGUUUUGUUCUACUAGAUGUAGAUCACAAUUCUUGUGUCAAUGUUUGUUUGUAAUCUUUUUCAGCUAUCCAUCUGAAAAAGAAAAGCUGGCACUCGCAAAGGAGAUUGUGUUGUUGGAUUAUGGUCUUAUUUGGUCAAAAUGAGGGAAAUGUACUGUAAGGAUGCUUUUACAUACUUCAUUAAUGUGUAUGAAAUUACUUACUUGAGAAUGUGUAUAAAAACUGUACUUGACUCUAACUUAGUGCUAUUUUUGCAUUGAUCAUGAUAGGAGCAUUUUUCUUUUUUUUUUCUUUUUUGAUGGGCCAUCACACAGUGGACUUAUAAAAAUGAGACUACAGAACAUCAGACGGAAGCUUCAAUGGAGUUGAAGUGAGAGGACAUCAUCAAUAAAGAAUGCCAUUGACCAAACCUUCAGUCAUCAAAGGAGAUGGAUACAGGUGGACAUCGAGUUUUCCAGACUUACCGAUAGGAAAGAAGACACGUUUAUCAGGAAAUGGGAGGUGACAGUUAUUGAGAAACUCGGGGAAAUAGCAUCUUUAGAGAAGAAAAUGGACAUCAGACAUUCAUUGAAGAAAGCUGACAGUCAACAUAAUGAUGAGCUGUGUUAUACAAUGUUAAGUAUUCUCAUUCAUCUUCUGCUGUGUGAAUUCUGCUGUCUCAGACCUGUGGGACUUGGUGCCGGCUGGUACCAAAGUGACCUCUUUGCUUACUUAAUGAGGAAAAGGUGUCUGAAAUCAGCUCAGCCACAGUUGGUUUCCAGCGGUUCUUCAGGACAUAGAGGCCACUACGUAAUUGAAUGAAUGAUUCUCUUGCCUUUCCACUUGAUGUUGACAAGCUGACCUGUGCGGUAGACAGACUUUUCAAAUUUACUAGCUAAGUAACCUUAAGUAUCCCUGCCAACUGUCUUUAGUUUUUUUUGUAUGAAUAUGAUCUGCCCUUGUCCCAGUCCUCUUGCAAACGAUCCAAGGCAAUGGAGUUUCAAGAUGGACCGCAAAAUUGCUGUUUGUUUUAAACAAUGCAUGCACUAUGUGGCGGUUUCCCGGACAGGGAUUAGAGAAUAAAAGAUUUUUAAGAGCUGUCCAAACUGAAAACAACUUGCACUGACAUAUCUUAAAAUACAUCAGUGCCCUUUGUUUUGCCUCAAAAUGCACAAAUUGCCUACAAAUGUUUUUAGUAAGGCAUGUUUGUUAAAACCAGUUAUUUCCUAAUUAAUCUAAGGCCCUGUCCGGGAAACCACCCCUAAAUAUUUGUGAUGGAAAUUUCUUUAAAUACACUUGUCAAGUUCAUUUGAAGUAUUUUUCUAAAUGUAAAAUAACAUGUUAAUGUUUCAGGACAAGUUAAGAAUUUUUGAUAACUUGCAUGUUGAAAAUGAUUUCAGACAUUGUUCUAUUCAACAUGUUUAACACAGUUGCUUUUAAAUUCAAUGAAUUAUUUUAUAAAUAGUGUUUUAAAAUGUAUGAAUGUAAUGUAUGUUUGAAGUGAUUAUACUUGCACUUACAUUUAUUUAAAUUAGCAUACAUCUAGCAACAUACAGUACUAGCAUAUUUUCAUGCUAGCAUUAAUUGUCAAAUAUUUGUUAUUUUACAAAUAAAUAGUUUGUGAACAAUAUUCAAUAGUUUUCUGCGUGAUUUCAUUAUUUAAAGUUGACAAAUCAUAUGUUUUUUUCUCUUUUAUAUUAAAACUAAACAAUUACUGGGUAACACACAGUUGUGUUAAAUUAAUAGAAAGUUACACAUUAAUGUGUUUACUGAAGCAACACAUUUUUGUGUUGCAUUUUAUAACACAUAUUCUGUGUUAAAUUUAACUCAACAUGUGUUGUCCCUGCGCACACUCAGAACAUGUGUAAAAAAUAACACAUGUUGUGUUGUUUUCAACACAUUUGUUUUAAGAG